rnacentral:rRNA from 1 species
GAUGAACGCUGGCGGCGUGCCUAAUACAUGCAAGUCGAGCGAACGGACGAGAAGCUUGCUUUUCUGAUGUUAGCGGCGGACGGGUGAGUAACACGUGGAUAACCUACCUAUAAGACUGGGAUAACUUCGGGAAACCGGAGCUAAUACCGGAUAAUAUUUUGAACCGCAUGGUUCAAAAGUGAAAGACGGUCUUGCUGUCACUUAUAGAUGGAUCCGCGCUGCAUUAGCUAGUUGGUAAGGUAACGGCUUACCAAGGCAACGAUGCAUAGCCGACCUGAGAGGGUGAUCGGCCACACUGGAACUGAGACACGGUCCAGACUCCUACGGGAGGCAGCAGUAGGGAAUCUUCCGCAAUGGGCGGAAGCCUGACGGAGCAACGCCGCGUGAGUGAUGAAGGUCUUCGGAUCGUAAAACUCUGUUAUUAGGGAAGAACAUAUGUGUAAGUAACUGUGCACAUCUUGACGGUACCUAAUCAGAAAGCCCCGGCUAACUACGUG